CCGCGCUCUCCCGGUGCCCGGGCGGGGCUGCGCUGGGGUCCGUCUGGUGCCCGGCGGGCGGGCGGGCGGGGAGGGCGAGGCCGCUCGUGGGCACCUGUGGGCACGCGUGGGUGGCGCGGCCGGCGCCGCCGCUUGGCGGGCAGCUGGAGCGGGGGCAGCGGGUGUGCCCGCCGGGUCCGGCGGUGUCGGCCGGUACGGGAAAAUCCCGUAGAAGAUGGUUCAGACUUGUAUUAUUUCUGCUUGUUGUUGCUGUUUAAUAUUUUGUUUCCUGAGGGAAAACUUGCCGUAAGAUCUGUGAGCAAAACGUGUUUGUGUUUUUGGAAUAUUUGCCAGCUGAGUAGUUUCUCCCUUGGGCUUCAUCUCUAGGGGUGAUCGGCUCGGGGCAGCCGUGCCACAGAGUAGCAGUUGCACGACUGAUACUUGUAAUCAGAUUCCUAGUUGGUAGCCUUUAUUUUGUGUGGGUUGUCUGUUGAAUUGCUCAGUAGUUAGUUUGGUUUUACAUUUCCUGAAGGUGUAGGCAAAGAUUAAAGAAAUGAGUGGACUUAAAGAGAAGUAUUUAUUAUUUUGUCAUGGGAUGUGUCUAUUUGAAACCUGUUUUGAUUAUUGUUGAUGUUCAAGAAAUUGCCGAGACUUAGAGGGCAAAUCUUGAUGUGCUGAGCGGAAGAGUGCAAUGGGUCUGUUUGGUUGCCAGGUGGCUUUCUUGACCCGUGUGGCCAGUUUAUCAAGAUUACACUGCACGCCUGAGAGAGUGAGAGAGAUCCCCUCCCUCCUUAAAUAAUUAGCAUGAUGCUAAUGGGAUGAAAUUCUUGUAUUGAUCAGCCUGGAUGUCAGUCCAGCUCUGUCCCAUCUCUGCCCCCCUCCCCCGAUACGUCACACCUGUGGGCAGAGCAGUCAGAAUGUCCUUGGCUCUCAGACCAGAGCAAUGAAAAACAUUAGCUCUGUGCUGGGGUGUUAUCUCGUGUUCUCAAACUAAGUCCAAAUAAUGACUGUGUGAGCUGUGAAAAAGAAAGGUUUCUAACUGCAUGAAGAAAAUCAGUUCACUUUCAGUCAAAACAGCACAAUUUCAGGUAUGGAGCCCUCAGGGCUCUGUCAGGGCUUUCUUUUCUCUUCUGCCUUCUUUUCUCUUCCCUUCCCCCCUGCCCUUCCCCCUUCCCUCUCCCUUCCUUCACUCUUCCCUCACUCUUCCCUAAAAACAACUUUCCAGGACACAAAAUGCAAUGGAUACAAGUGUUUCUGUUUUUUUUUAAUUAUUUUUUUAUUUUUUUAAUUUACUUCAUUUUAUGUUUUUUCAUGUUCUGUUAUUUCAUGUCAUUUGCAUUUCUCAGUCUUUUUCAGAGCCAAUGCUCACAAUCCUUCACACAAGCCCACAUGUAGCCAGGAGCAGGCUGAUGCAUUCUUCAGUUUAGCUUGAAAAAACAGCCCUUGCGGGCUGGCAAAGGCAAGUCCCAGAGCUGCAGAGAGCAGCAGCAGGAAUAGAGACCAAGCUUUCCCUGGUUCCUCAAGAGGGCGAACCUUGAGAAUGAGGCGCGGGAGUGACCACGCACAAAAGAAGAGGUAUGUGGUACUGUGGGAUCUUUUCCAAAGCAUCACAUGUAGCGAUGACAAGCAGAUGUUUUGCCUUGCACACCUUGUUUGGCUGCUGUGCUUCUUGGGCAGGGUGCACGAGAAGCGCUGUGGGCCCUGCCAGGCGCUGGUGUUGCCCGCAGGGAGAGGUGCCGAGUGGCAGCCGCGAAUCCUUCCUGUUCCUGACAGGACACCAGUGGCUGCUCCAAAGCACUGGGUCCCCAUGCAACAUCUUUGCAUCCUGUUUCCUACAUCUGCCUUCUUUGUAACUUGUUUGGGUUUUGCCUGUUUCUUUCUACCUUGUUUAGUUUUUUGUUUUUGUUGUUGAUGUUGUUUCUGUUGUUGUUGUUUUGGAUUUGUUGGGUUUUUUAAGUUUGUUUCAUUUAGGUGGUUUAGGUUAGUUUAUAUUAGUUGCUUUUGGUAGGCUUUUUGAGACUGGUUGUUCCAAGUUGCUUGUUUGACACCGUAUGACGUUGUUGGUAGGUUGUGUGUUGGUAGGUCACUGAAGGCUGGUUGUUUUAGGUUAAGGUUUGUUAAGUUUGGUUUAGGUUGGCGGUCUUAGAUUGCUUGUUUCAGGUUUGAUGGUUUAGCUUGGUUUUGGUUGUUUAGUUUAGGUGGCUUGGUUUAGGUUGGUUGAUGUUAUUUUCUUACCACUGAUCUAUGUUGUUUAGCUUAGGAGGUUUAUUUUUCUUGGUUUUGCUGGGUUCUUUGGUUGGUGCUGUUUUCUGACGAUUCUUUAGCACUGGUUGUGUUAGUUUGGUUUAGGUUUCUGGUUUUAGUAGCUUGGUUCAUUUUGUUGCGGUCGUUUGAGGUUGGUUUGAGGCAGGUUGUUUGAGGGUGGUUGCUGAAGGCUGGUGGGUUUAGGUUGCUUGAUAUAGGUGAUUUUUGGUUGAAGUUGUCUUCUGUUGGUGGUUUUAGGUGGCGUAUCUGAAGUUGUUUUCGUUGAGGCCGUUUUCAGUAGUUUGGUUGAGGUUUGUUUAGAUGAUUUUAAGUUGGGGCUUGGCUGGUUGGUUAUUUCAGGUUGUUUCUUUUCAGUAAGCAGUUUAGGUGGGUUGGUGGGUGUCUGUGUUUUUAGGUAGGUUGGUUUAGGCAGGUUUGGUUUACAUUGUUUGGGUUGCUCGAAGGGUUUCUGCUAAGGUUGGUUCAGGUUGUUUGGUUUAGGUUGGUUUAGUUAUUUUUUGGUAGGUUGUUUUAGGCAGUGUUAUUUACGUUGUGUGUUUUGAAGAUGGGUUCCUUCAGGCUGGGGUGGUUUAGAUUGGUUGUUGAGGAUGCUUUAGGUGGUUUGGUUAGAUUUACAUUGUGUUUUGUUGGUUUUAGGUUGUGUCUGGAUGAUUUGGAUGUGACUGUAAUCUCGCUGGGACAUGUGUCCCCCUACUAAUCACCAGGCUUGAUUGGGCUGUUUCUGCUGUCUCAGCAGAUGUCCCCUUCCUCCUUCCCUGCUCCAUGUGUUUCCCUGCCUUGCUCAGAGAGGACAACCUUCCCCGCUAGAGGCGAACUGUUGCUAGAUCAAGGGUAUACGGUAGCUGCGCUGUGCUUGAGAACCUCCAAACAAGCUCAGGGUCCAUUAGUAGGAGAACCUGGGGUAGUCAAGCUUCCAAGACUGCAGACACAUCCAAGUGAGACACUGCAUGGGGUAGGGUGGCUGUUGGUUGGAUUUUUGUUGUUGAGUUUUUUUAGGGUGUUUUAGCUUCGUUGAUGAAGUUGAGUUGAUUUAGAUUGUUUUUUAGCUUGGUCAUUGUAGGCUGGUUUCAGUGGUUCUAUUUAGCUUUGGGUUGUUUGCUUUAGGUCGUUUUGGUCAGGUUAUGUCAUUUGGUUUCAUAUUUUUUAGGUUGGUUUAGAUCGGUUGUUUUAGGUAGUUUUAUCCUUUAUUAGAUUGUUUUUAAGUUGUUUGAGAUUGUUUAAUGGUUGUUUUAGGUUAAGAUUGGUUGUUUUCGGUUUGUUUAGCUUGUUUGGCUAUAGGUUGCUUAAGGUUGGCUGAGAAAUGCCGGUUUAUGUAGUUUUAGGUAGGAUUUUUUAGACCAUUUGGUUUGGGUAGGUUUGUUUUAGGGUGUUUAGGUUGGUUUAUUUUGUUUGGUUUAGGUUGGUUUAGGUAAUUUGUUGUCGAUUGUUUAAGGUUCUGUUUAGGUUGUUGGUGGCUGAUUGAAGUAUUUUAAGGCAGACUGGUUUAGGUUCUUUAAGGUUGGUUUAGGUGAGUUGUUCUAUCCUGGUUUAGGCAGACUGUUCUAACUAAGUUUAGGGCCAACUCGUGGAGCAGCAGGCACCCAGCCCAAAUGGCCCAAAGAAGCCGUGGCAGGGGCCGUGCUCAGCGCUGCAGAGGAAGGCAAAAUCCCCCAGAGACGCUUGGUGUCCCACCUGGGGGAAAAAAAAGCCUUCCUCCCCCCAGCUGCAGGGCACGAGAGGCCAUGUUCCUGGUGCUUGAGCAGCAGGCAGGAUCUGAGCCAAAAGGGCCCAGAGGAGCUCUGCAAAGUGGUCACGCUCAAUGCUGCAGAGGAAGGCAAAAAACCCCCGGGCACCAGGGCCAAUCUGCCCCGGGGGAAAAAAUUCCUUCCUGACCCCAGUGCUGGCGAUCGGCUGUUCCCUGAGCAUGUGAGCCAGACCUCGCUCCUUGUCCCACAGGCUGCUCACGCCCUCCCAGGACCUGCUCAAGCCCUCGCCUAUCCUAUCCUAUCCUAUCCUAUCCUAUCCUAUCCUAUCCUAUCCUAUCCUAUCCUAUCCUAUCCUAUCCUCCCUUGAGCUGGAGCCAUCUCCCGGACUUCCGAGAGUGCCCAAAUGGCUCUGACCUGAUGGACCUUGGGGGCAAGAAUCGUUUCUGUGCCUGGUGGGACACCAGUGGGUGUUCCAAAGCACUGCAACCCCUGGCAACCCCUCUACCUCCUAUUUCUUACGGCUCCUGAGCCUGGCUCCGCAGGGGAUGAGGAUGGUGAGCUCUGCUGUGCUCCUCCAGAAGAAAUUCCCUUGCUUUCUCCACUGCCAUCCAGCUGAAAAGGAUUUCCAUCCUUGAGCUGAGCUUGGAAGGUGGCCCUGCCAGCAGAUCACCUUGAAGUGGAGAACCUUCCGCAGCCUCAUGCAAAGUCUUCCUCCCUCAGCCCCUGCCCUGUGAUUCCAGCAGCUCCUCAAGUGCUUCCUGUGGGAUGUGUUGGGGCUGCCCCCGGGCCAGCUCUGGCAGUGGACACGGGACCCGGCUGCUCCUUUUGAUCCUGCCCGGAGCAUUGUGACCUCAGCGUUGCCGGGUGCUGGCAUUGUGACACGGGGGUGCAGCCCUAAUAAUAUAAACUAAUAAAUAGUCCUUUUCCAGGAGCAUGCAGGGCACACUUCAAGACUCUCUUCCCCUCUCUAGACAACCAUUUCUCACUUCCCUCAUGCCCAGACACCUUCACUGUGAUGGCAUGAGAAGGCAGCAGGACUCACUUAUUACUUUCUCAGCAGAAGUAACUUUUAAACAUGUAAAAUAACCUGAGGCGGCUCUGGGCUGUUUAAAAAAAUAAAAGUCUUUAACCACUUUUGCAAACAAACAGGAUAAGAUAACUAACAGGAUUUUUCAAAAGACAUCUUCUGAUACUUCAGUCUGACCCCUAGAUUCUAAAACAGGACCUUGCAAACUAUGAUUUAUAUAUUCUGCUUACUUGUUUUCCGGCAACAUCUCAUCCAUAUGUGUGCUAUUACUGUAUUUUACAGAGUUGUAUUUAUUUUAGAAGCAAUGGUGAUCUCAAAUGUUAAGAAUGAACUGCCAUUUCCUCUAACACAAGUAGCUGUGAGCUAUUAUCUAGAUGCAUAUUAUACUAAUGAGAUCAGAGACUCAUAAUCCCUACGAACACAGAGGCACAGGUUGAAUAAGAAAUCUUUGCUAAUGAAGUGAACUGUCUAUGUUGCAGCUCUUAGACCCGAGAUAUUACUUCAUACAUUAAGGUACAUGAGCCUCAAAUAACACAAAACAACUCUGUUUUAUGCACAUGUAAUUUUAGACUAUGAAUGCACAAAUCAACGCACACAGAGUAGACAAGUAAAAUGCUUGGAAGGUUUUGCAGAACUAGCAGAAGGGAGAUAAAUAACCAAAGAGGAGUCAAGAUAUAUUGCAUAGAGAUGUUCGCCACUGGAUGUUUUCCCAAUGCUUUCUUAUAGAUGUUCAUAUUACAAAAUAAAGCUUUUGCACUUUUGUCUUCCUGAGCUUUCCAUUCUUUGUGAGCUGUGAAAUAUCUGUGAAAAAAUGAAACACCAUCCUAAUCUUACACUAUGAUAUCAAAAGAAAGUGCCACAACGUAACAUUCUGAUUAGACGACUGUUGUAGUAUUAGUGGAUGUCUUCUGUUUGAAGAAAUUUUUCAAUAUGGUAGCUCUCUUCUGAUAGGGGAUAGGGUGGGGAAAUCAGCAGUGCAAGAGAGGUUUAAUUAAACCAACAAACCCAUCCAUUGUCACUUGGGACUAAUGCCAUAGUUAAGUGCUUUUUAUAGGCAGCAGCCUAAGAAACACAUGCCAGUUAUUUGAACUGAAGUGGAAAUGCUCUGCCUGGGCACUCAUCACACCAUCCCAUCCUCUGGGAGACUCCAGCAUGUCAGAAAAGUAAAGAGAAAGAUGGGGAAAUGAAACAUCACAAAAAUAAGUUGCAAGUGAAGUGCCGUCUCUCAUUUGUUAAGGAGGAACAUGGAGUACAUUGUUACGGGUAGCUGAGAAAUGUCAUUCUUGUAAAAUUAGUCUUUCACAUAAUUUUGGUCUGUAGAGAAAACUCACUGAAUUUGUUUGCUUUUCUGUAGAUUAGCAUGGGUCCUGCAGCUAGCAUACAUGGCCGAGAACUUUACAUUAUAUGCAGCUGUUGUCCAUAGAAAUAAUUCCCUUUUACUCUCAAAGACUUAGAGAUGAGCAGCAUAUAAUUUCUUCAGUGUCUACUUAUCACCCAAGGAAGUCAACAAAUCUCUUUUCCAUAGCUACAAGGAGUUUUCAAAGAUGUGACAGUUCCCUCCAGACAUCAACUGACCUUAAAGAAGGAGCAAAAUACAAAAGGAUCAAUACAUGUGAAAAAGACCUUUGGUAUUAGGGAACUGAGAUGAACUGGUGCACCUUUCUUCCCUACUGAUUUGAAAAGAAUGCUGUUUGACUGCUGCUCAUACUGAUAAUCCACAAAAUAUUUGCUACACUUUUUUAGCCAAAGGACUAAGGCAGUGCCAUCAGCAACUUCAGAGCACACCCUCAAACAAAAAUCAGAUACUACAGCUCAAAGUCUGAGGAAACAGCAUCAAUGACUAAUGACAGCUGUAACGUGGAAGGCACAGUAAGCAACAGUUGUAGAAGUUCAUUAAUAAUUUGUCAUGGCUCUGUUUUGAAUACUGACAUUUUGCACUGCUUUUAUUAUACCUGUUAUUAUGAGAUCAUGACAUCACCUAUCAGACAAGUGUAACUUUCUUCACUUUGAAAUGAAAACUUCUGGACAAUACACAAAGUUACACAAGUGAGGGAAGUACACAGUGAUUUCACAGGCAAUUUGGAACUGGGCUCUUGACUUGCAUUUCUAACUUUGAAAACCUCUCUCCAAAUCAUUUGCCAUCUUUCAUUAAGAUCCAGCAGCAGCUCUCUCCUGUGCCUCCUGCUUUCCUUUAGUCAUCCAAAGCCCACAGAGCUGCACCACAAGCUUGAAGAACAGUAUGCCAGCCUCAUGUCCUGCUUCUGUCACCUAGUUUUUAUGUACCAUUUCUCACCAAUUACAACACCCAGUGAUUCCUCAUCACACAUGACACUUCAGUAGGUACAUCCACGCAUUAUUUCAGCAGCAUUGUAUUUGCACAGAUUAGCUGUUGAACCCUCCAGAUGAUGUCUUGCCUUUCGAGAAGGGUGUAGUACAACUGCUGGGAUUCUACAGGAAGUCAACAGGGCAAUAGUGAAGAGAAACAACUGUGUUUAAACAUCUAAAAGGUAGCUAUGAAGAAAAACUUUUGUGUACAUCCAUUGCACACAGGACACAGAAUAAUGAGGCUUAAGUUAAAAACCUGAAAAACGUAGGGUAUGCAGCAACCUUUGCAACAGCAGUAAUAUUAAUGGGAUUUUUAAAGAAUAAAUUAGGCAAGCAUUUGUAAGGAAUUAUACGGAAAAUUGAUCAUCCUCCUUUGGGAUGCGAGCAACACUAGACUAUCUUUCAAGGUUCUUCUUUCCUCAUUGAUGCCCCCCUGCAUGUUUCCGUGGCCAUCACACAUCAACCAUCAUCAUAUUAUCAAGGAUUAACAGCAUUUGGAUGCACAGAAAUUGUCUUUAGAGUGAUGUCCGCAGACUUUGGAGUCAAGAUCUGCUCUUUUUCUCUCCCAAGCUUGAAAGCUCUCUUCAGUUUAAGACUGUUUUCAAAAUACUGAGUGAAGUAGAAAUUAAAUGCACACACUGGAACAUGCAUAGAAUUGUGUUAAAAACAACGCAAUGCAAUAAUUCUACACUGGCUAGAAAUCUCUGAAGUGUUCUGAUGAAGACUCAGCUUAUUUCUAGGAAAUAAAGUCUUUGGGGCCAAAAUCAACAUGAUGUUCCAAUCCAAUCUAUUUUUUUUUCUAAAAAUAUUUUUUUCUUUAUAUAUUGAAAAAUGCUGGAGAAGGAAAUCGGGACAGAAAUGAAAACCCAUUCAGGGAGUCAGUGGUAUAGAUUGUCACCACACAAUCUGAACAUGGUAACUGCAGCUCAUAUAUUCAGAACAAGCGAGUCAAAAGUCGCACACUCCCUGGGAUAGGGAAGGGUCUUUCUCCUUCAACAGGCUCAGGCAAGAAGCUCUCACUGUAUUUUGAGCUAAGACACAGUGAGCAGAAUGCAGGUUUUCUGACAGAUAAAGCAAGACAAAAGGAUCUAGUGCAGCAACGUCUUUGCAGUCUCUUGCUCCUAAGCCCCCUUCUUCAACUCUUCUUUCUUCUGGAGACGUGAAGACAAAGCGUGUCCUGUCCCUGGAAGCCCACACUGUACCCUGCUUGUCCAUGGCAAGAGACAGAACCUGCCAUUUGUCUCCAAAGACAUUUAUGCACAGAGAUGAGUGGAGCACUGGAUCAUGGAAGCAUAAGCUGCAGCGGACAUGAUUUAGAAUCAGUUCUUUUCUUGUCCUUGCUGACAAAAUAAAACCAGCAAUUCCUUACUUCAUAGAAAUUCUCCUAAAGUAGUAGCUGCUCCCAAUAUCUGUCAAGUCUUCAAUAUCACAGGCGAACAGACGCAGCCAGAAGAACAUUUCCUCUAAUGACUGCUCUGAACUACACAGGCAGGCACAGGCAGCUCCCAGUGCCAUUAAAUACACACAGGACCACUUGGUGGUGAAAGCAGAAUCACCACUGACAUUAGUUUUGUUUUAUAACCCCUUGAACAUGAACUGGGUCUGGUCUGUCUGUCCUCACUUGCCAAACACCAUGCCGGUGCCUUCACUAUAAGAAAGUGGAGCUACCGAGCAAAAGAAGUCCAAGAGAGCUGAACCUCAAAGCCAGGAGAACCAAAGGCUGCUGAGCACCACACAGAUGCAGCCACUUGGAGGAGCUUCCAGAAUUCUACAGCAUUUUAUCACAUGCUUUCUGGUGACACAGCCUGAAGAUCUGUUUAAACACAUGAUCCAGCUUAGUAUCUGCCUGUACCCCAAAGAAGAGCAACAUCAGCUCACAACUGGUGUUUUCUACAGACCUGGGCCAUAAACAAACGUGCCAGACACAGAAAAACUAAAGACUUAGAGCAGCUGAAAUAUUAUUUUUCCAUUCCAUCAACCAGUUAUGAAACUACCUAUGGCCUGUGCACUUACAGAACAGAACACGAUAACUAACAAAAAGAAAGGCUUUUAUUCAGAAUAGAUCAGUGCGCCUUUACAAAAAGUCAUGAGUUAAACACACAAGUCAGCGUUAUCAUUAGCAACGCACCUUCUCUGAAGAGGAACUCCUCAUCUUUUAUCAAAUGUCAACUGCAAGAGUGUGUAAACAAAACAAAACAAUCCACACCAAAAUCCACCCACAUCCCAAAAGCCCUGUUUAGAUUAUACAUCUAUAUAACA